rnacentral:rRNA from 1 species
UACCGGCGGCUCGAGUGGUGGCCACUAUUACUGGGCUUAAAGCGUUCGUAGCUGGGUUGUUAAGUCUCUUGGGAAAUCCACCGGCUCAACCGAUGGGCGACCAGGGGAAACUGGCAUUCUAGGGACCGGGAGAGGUGAGAGGUACUCCAGGGGUAGGAGUGAAAUCCUGUAAUCCUUGGGGGACCACCGAUGGCGAAGGCAUCUCACCAGAACGGCUCCGACAGUGAGGAACGAAAGCUGGGGGAGCAAACCGGAUUAGAUACCCUCGUAGUCC